GCUUUAGGGCAUCCCCAAGAUAUGUUUUCAAAUACUGCUAUAUAAUUACAACCCGUUUUUGCUCAAUGGAUACAAAACACCCAUGCUUUAGCACCUGGCGCAAUGGCUCCUAGUGCAACAGCAAGCACUAAUUUCACUUGGGGUGGUGAUUUAGUAUCAGUGGGUGGCAAAGUGGCUUUGUUACCUAUUUCGUUAGGAACCGUGGAUUUUUUAGUACAUCACAUCCAUUCAUUUACGAUUAUGUCACGAUAUUGAUACUCCUGAAAGGUGUUCUAUUUGCUCGUAGCUCCCAUUUGAUACCGGAUAAAGCAAAUCUUUGUUUUCAUUUUCCUUGUGAUAGACCUGGAAGAGGGGGUACAUGUCAAGUAUCGGCUUGGGAUCAUGUCUUCUUUGGAUUAUUCUAGAUGUACAAUUUCAUUUCAAUAGUAAUAUUCCAGUUCAGUUGAAAAAUGCAGUCAGAUGUUUGGGACAGUAUAAGUGAUCAAGGGGUAAUAACUCAUAUCAUGGGAGGAAACNN
rnacentral:lncRNA from 1 species